rnacentral:lncRNA from 1 species
UGCUCCGUCCUCGGAACGAGUUCAGCUCUCCAGAAAUGCGCAACUGUGCGGCUCCUCUUGCGACUAAAUGGAACCUGAUUCGAGUUGGAAAGUCUUCAGUUGUGACUAUUACGCGCUGCCAUAGCACUGAUGGCAAACCUCGGCUGACUAUCAGAGUGACAAGGACAGACCUCCACGUGACCACGUUGCGCCCGCCCCCCCGGCGCAUCAUCGUGGCUAUGACGGCGCCUCCAACCAACCGAAUCUGGGAGCAACGAGACGUGUGUGGCGAUGUGUGCACGCCGAGGCUGGCGCUUAUCUUCUUUUUCCAAAUAAAAGCAUGUAAAGAGAGAUGGGACGCGCCGCGUACCGGUGGCGCUGCGAGGUGGCGUCGCGCAGCAGCCCAAGACCAAAUAAAAAUGAAAAUAACACACUUUGGCCUCGUUUUUAUGAGAUGGGUCCAGUGGCCCAGCAAAAUCCAGUUCUAUUGACACCCAGACUCCGCCACCGCAGUUUACUCAGGGAUUGGACGUGCAUAAAAGGAGCCAACGAACGGAUUGUACUGAAAGAAAAAUAUGCACAGAGCAAACACGGCGGCAGAACACAAGCCGCGGAUCCGGGGAAAAGAAGUAAUUAAGGGAGAAGAAAAUGCAUCCGCCUGCUCCAGAACUGUCAGUGCGCGCUUGUCAAAUGAAGGUAACUGCCAGACAUGUACAGUGCGCUAAAAGCAACAUGUGUGCAGCUGUUGCAGCCCACGCACGCGUGGUGCGCGGAGUUUUACCAGAUGAGGCAACGCAGAGAAGGGAUUUAAAAGUGAGGACUAAUUACGACUGGAGGGCAAACAGAGCAAAAUAAAUAAAUAAAGGAAGGAAGGAAAGAAAGCGAAGCGUGAUCCUCAACACUGGCUAGUUUGCAUCGCUUCUAAAACGUGACCAAACCGGAGUCAAAGUGGUUUAAUCCACUCCUCUGAUGCUCACUGACGCGCCGUCCUAGUUGUCAAAUGAGAGGAUCCACAUGAUCUCAGCAGAGAUAAGGUCCAAACAGCCAUUAAAUUGACCCCACCGGGCCCCCGUUAACCACGCAGACUCAGGUCUGUUGACGACGGAUUACUUUAUCCCGCUACUUAACUCGGCAUCUCUCCUCUCCUCGCGUUUACACCCCCCAGACGGCCCAGUCACAGCUCACGUUCUUCUUCUCAUUUACUUCGGAAUAAUCAUCAAAUGAGACUGAUUUUAUUUUACCUUUAUAACCUGCGUCUCACGAAAGACACCUGGGACAAGAACCAGGGCUAAAAAAAACCCAGAUUGAUCUUAUUAAGGAUGUAAAAGGAAGCGUGACAGGUGUUUCCAAGAGCUGAUUAAUACAUUAUUUCCACAAACUUUCAACUUCACGUGAAAUCUCGCGGCGUUCAAGAAAAAAAAGAUGUAUAAAAAAUAUCUGUCUGCCGUGAACACACACACACACACACACACACACACACACACACACACACACACACACACACACACACACACAAAACAUAUUUUCAGGCUGAAUCAAACUCAAAUGUAAUCUGUAUUUUAAUUAAUAUAGAAUAAAUUAUGGAUAUUAUUGUCUGCUGGGGAACAAUCUUAUUUUAACUUAUAUAUAUAUAUAUUAAAAAAGAGAACAAAUCUCACAGAAUUAGUGUCAAAUAACCACCUAAGGAUGUUGAACAAAUAUAAGUUAUAUGAUUGCUGGGUCGUUUUUUUUUUUUCUUUAAAAUAUCGAUAACAAUAAAAAUGUUUUCCACUGCAAACAUCAGGAACCGUGUUGCUCCGUUUCCCUCUUCCAGCCGCGUUGUAAUACUAAACUUGAAGUGGAUUAUCGGUUUCCUCUUCAUUUCUACCUUCUGAAUGCGUUAUCUCUCUUCUGCGGAUUACUGCGCGCAAUGGGCCUCCGCCAUAGAGGGCCAUUAAUUAGCAAUUCAGUCAAUAUAGGGGGAGACGACAAGGCUUUUUACAUAGGAUUAGGAAGACAUCACAUUCCUCCAUUAGUAUAUUCCUCCUCACGAAUGGGCUUUCAUUAUAUAUUUAGUUCUCCCCGGAGUCCGCCCGACAGUCACUGCAUACAUUACGGCAGAACAAUCUAGGCUGCUGUGUCUGUUUCGUGUUAUCUUAUUAUUCUUAAUCAAUGGCCUUUCACAACGACGCACAGCCCGACCUUCUGUCAUUUCGCCUCAUCAGCGCUUCCCAAAUGACACGAAAUAAUAAAAAUAAUUGGCUCAUUUGCGACCCCAACCAGACCUGAAGACGUUUUAUCCAUUUAUUUAAUUAGAACUGUAACCGUGGAAAUCAUUUCAUGGAUUUUUCCAUUUUUUCCACUCCACAUGUUAUAUUAUGGUUUUGGAGCACACGUGGAUCUGUUAAUCAGUGCGAAACACAGUUUUAUUUGAUUUAUCAAGAUUAAUUACAAAUGACUAUUUAUGGCCAAAUGUGCAGAUUUUUAAUUGUUGGAUAAAAGCCCAUCCUGGUCAUCAUGUGAGAUGCUCUGUGGUCGUUGGAGCUGCAGAAGCAAAUGUAACCACCAGGUGUCGCUCUAAGGCAAUAAAACAAGCACCAUCAGCGGCAGCGGCGCAAAAAAGACCAAAU